GCACUAGUGAUUAGAGUUUGAUCAUGGCUCAGAUUGAACGCUGGCGGCAUGCUUUACACAUGCAAGUCGAGCGGCAGCGCGGGGGCAACCCUGGCGGCGAGCGGCGAACGGGUGAGUAAUGCAUCGGAACGUGUCCCGUAGUGGGGGAUAACGCCGCGAAAGCGGCGCUAAUACCGCAUACGCUCUACGGAGGAAAGCAGGGGACCUGCAAGGGCCUUGUGCUAGGGGAGCGGCCGAUGUCCGAUUAGCUUGUUGGUGGGGUAACGGCCCACCAAGGCAACGAUCGGUAGCUGGUCUGAGAGGAUGAUCAGCCACACUGGGACUGAGACACGGCCCAGACUCCUACGGGAGGCAGCAGUGGGGAAUUUUGGACAAUGGGGGCAACCCUGAUCCAGCCAUGCCGCGUGCGGGAAGAAGGCCUUCGGGUUGUAGACCGCUUUUAGCCGGGAAGAAAAGUCUCUGGAUAACACCCGGAGGUUUUGACGGUACCGGCGGAAUAAGCACCGGCUAACUACGUGCCAGCAGCCGCGGUAAUACGUAGGGUGCGAGCGUUAAUCGGAAUUACUGGGCGUAAAGCGUGCGCAGGCGGUUCGUUGUGUCGGUGGUGAAAGCCCCGGGCUCAACCUGGGAAUGGCCAUGGAAACUGGCGAACUGGAGUGUGGCAGAGGGGGGUGGAAUUCCGCGUGUAGCAGUGAAAUGCGUUCACACAGGAAAA
rnacentral:rRNA from 1 species